rnacentral:lncRNA from 1 species
GGGGGCAGGGCCAAAUAAUAUCCAUGGAAAUGAGAUGUGCCAAUGCUUAUACAACUGCAUACCAAAUAUGAUUGACCUACCACUUGUGGUUCACCAUAAACUAGACCUAAUCACAAACUAAUACUUUGUUGACGCCGUCGACGUCGCCGUCGCCGACGUCGGAAACAGCAUAACUAUGCCUCGCUUUUUGACUCCGUCAAGGC